AACUAUUGUGUCAGAGAACGAGGCUCAGCAAGGGGGAGAGAAACAAAUAUAAUGUGAACUCUUGUGUUAGGGAAUAGGACCUAUGAAGGGAAAGUAGGAAAUGAUGGGAGUUUUUGUGUCGGGGAAGAAGGCCCAUGGUUUUUUGUGUCAGACUAUAUGCCUUGAGUCUGACAAUGUGACAAGAUCAUGACUAUUGGACCCUUGGAGCCCCUUCUGUGACAGUAACGCUGUCUGUUAAUGCAAUCAUUUGUCUAUUUUCUGUGCUUUGAAAAAUUCUGACACCAUUUUUGUUCAAGUGCUUGAUCUACUUUUCUACUGAUAAUUGUACGUAGCAGUAGGAGUAUAAAUAUGAAAUGACAUGAUGUAAAUAUUAAAUAUGAAUAUUAAAUGUACCAAUUCAUAGAUGUACAAUAUUUUAUGUGUCAUCUCCGUGUACAGGAUCAGAUGAAUAUAUGGGCAGCAAUUUGAAAUAAAUUGUGAAAUAAG
rnacentral:misc_RNA from 1 species